GCUCUUAUUUCUUAUUCUCCAUGCCAUUCUCAUGUCUCUGGCCACAUCACAGCCAAACUUCGUAAAACAUUACUGUUUUGACCAAAAUGGUAACUACACUGCUAAUAGUACGUUUCAGGCCAACCUCAAUGCCCUUUUGUAUCCAACCUCUCUUCCAACACUGAAAUCGACUAUGGCUUCUACAAUUUCUCAAAUGGCCAAAACUCUGACAAAGUCAACGUUAUUGGGAUGUGUAGAGGAGAUCUUAAGCCAGAAGCUUGCCGUAGUUGCCUCAACAAUUCAAGAAUCCUUCUCACACAACUUUUCCAAACCAGAAGGAGGCAAUUGGGUGGUAUGAUCAGCGCAUGUUGCGCUACUCUACUCUCUCAAUAUUUGGAAUUGCUGAUUCUUCUCCUUUGUAUGAUCAGCGCAUGUUGCGCUACUCUACUCUACAACCAAAAUGAAACAAAUGUGGAUCAGUAAAAUGAAGUUGUCGGGGACCUUCUCAGAAUUCUAGGAAACAGAGCUGCUGCCGGUGAUUCUCAUCGUAUGUAUGCUCAAGCAAACAAAACAGGUCCAAGCUUUCAAACUGUAUUUGCUCAUGUGCAAUGCACACCUGAUUUGUUAGAGUUGGAAUGCAAUCAGUGCUUGUUUGGAAACUUAAUAUCAUAUAUCCCAAAAUGCAGGCAGUUCUGAUUGUUUCCAUGCGCACAACGGGAGCAAAUAUUUCAUUGAAAUCAACUCGGACAGUUGUGAAUAUCCUUUAGUGACAAGUCGUGCUUUGUGUUUCUGGAUUGUUCCAUCCUCAUUAUAUUUAAUUUUGUAAACUCAUUUCAGGCCAAUGAUCUCCUUGUCUGCUCCCAUGUAUAAUUUUUCUCUAUUAUUUUGAUUUCCUCGUCCAUGGCUUUUGGAUAACUUCUAAAUAAUUGUAUUUUGAUAAUAUAAAAUAAGGUAAAAUUAUCUUUAAAAAUAAUUAUUUGCACUUAAAUAUUAAAGAAUUGAUGUUUUGUUGAAUUUUGGCUAUAGAUAUAAAAAUUGGAGGUGUAACAAGCAAAAAGGCCAGAAAAAUUGAAAAAAAAAAGAAAAUAUGAAGUAGGCACAGCCCAAUAUACGCACUCAGCACACGUCGCGAGCUAAGCGGGCCAGGAAGCACAGGCGCUAAGCGAGGUGUUAAGCUCGAGAGUUGUCAUGUGCCCUUAGUGCACAACAGGCGCUAAGCGCGCAUAACUGAAAUAGAAUGCGCUAAGCCUGCAACACGCACACAACUCGUGUAGAUCGUGCUAAGCGCGCCUAUGAAGGCCCAAAACCCACUUCAACAGCUAUAAGUAGAGAGCCAGUCCAAGGGGGGAAACACAGAACACCACGACAGAAUGUGGGGUUUCAUUUACUCCCUCUCUUUCUUUCCACCCCCUUCUCAUUGUAAAGCCCUCAAUGGCCAUGAGUAGCUAAACCCUUAGUUAGGGUCUGACAAGCCUAGAAGCCAAUGUGAUGUAUGAUGUACUCUUCACUAUUUAUCAAUGCAAUACCAGUUUUUUCUUUCCUAUUUUCUUUUCUGUUUUUAUCUUGCAUACUCAUUUUUAUAUUCUGUUAGGGGUUAGAUGCUAGGGAGAGGGUAACUUCUAAAUAAGAUUUAAAGAAGAUAUGCAUGCAUUAGUUUUAGGGGUUAGACGCUCGGGAAAGGAAAACUUCUAAUAGAACAAGAAGAAAAAAUAUCAUAAUAAAAUCAUUGUUAGGCAUAGAGUGAUUGCAUUAUGCCCAUGCAUCAAAGCAAACAUCUAGAAUUAGAACUUCAUGCAUUUUAUCUAUUGAGUCUUUGCAAAGACAUUUGGGAGAUAAAUAGGUAAAAUAGGCUUGUCAUCGUGAGGCAUCAGGGGCAAGUAAAUGAAUAGAUGUGGGUAGGAUAGAAUCACCUGAAUUGGUAAAGAAAAAUCAUACACUCAUACGCAGGCUAGGCAAGUUAGUUUCCAACAUUAUCUUAUCUUUUAAUUUUAUCUUUAAUUCUUUUAUCUUUUCCUUUAUCUUCUAAUUUUAUCUUUAAAUAUCUUAUCUUUUCUUUACCUUAUCUUCUAUCUUUCUUUAUCUCUUACCUUAAAUCUCUUAUCUCUUGCUUGAAAAAUUGGAUUUGCAUUAAUUUAAGUACAAACAAAGUUCCGAGUACUUUACUACUUGUGACAAUUUGGUGCACUUGCCAACGAGUUAACACUUUUCUCCAAACUUCUUCUUUCGAUGCUUCCUCAAAAUUUUUGAGGUUCACAGGCAAAAAAUCUAACAUUUGCGUACUUUGGAUUCGGUUUGUGUGGCCUUCCUGAUCUUCGAAGUUGUUGUUGUGGGACUUCUUCUACUUCUUCUUGCUGGUGCUGCUGGUCAUGUUGUGCUGGUGAUGGUGGCAGUGUGCACGAGCUUGGAUUGGUUAUUUCUUGCGUCUCAUUGACUUUAGUACUCCAUUGCCAGCUUGCUCCUUCGUCAAAGAUGACAUCUCUUGAAAUGAUCAGCAGUUUUGAAUCUGGUUUGAAUAAUCGGUAACCUUUAGAUUGGUCACUAUAGCCAACAAAGAUGCACUUUUCUCCUUUUUCAUUGAGAUUUUGUCGGUUCUCCUUUGGAAUGUGCGAAUAAGAAACACAUCCAAAAACUUUAAAAUGAUCAACUGUUGGUUUUCUAUUGAACCAUGCUUUAUAUGACAUCAUAUUUAAGACUACUUUAGUUGAAGAACGGUUGAGGAUGUAUACUGCUAUACUAACAACUUCCGCCCAUAGAUUCUUUAGCAGGUUCUUGUGUUGUAGCAUUGAUCGAGCCAUUUCCACAAUGGUUCUGUUUUUCCUUUUAGCGACAUCAUUUUGUUGUGGAUUGUGACGAACAGUCAGCUCUUUCUUGAUGCCAUGAUCAUUGCAAAAAUUGAUGAAUAUGUGUCCAUUGAAUUCUCUCACGCGAUCUGUUCUCAAGAUUUUAAGGGAAUGCCCACUUUGCUUUUCCACUAGGGCCUUGAACUCCUUGAAGCAAGAGAAUGCAUCGGAUUUUUGUUGGAUGAAGUACACCCACAUCGUUCGAGUGUAGUCAUCAACAAAGAGGAGAAAAUAUCUUCUUCCACCAAAGCUGGGGGUACUUGAUGGUCCCCAGAUAUCAGCAUGCACCAAUUGAAGUGGAGCUUUAGCUCUCCAAGAUGCUUUUGGAAAUGGUAACUUGUGCAUCUUGCCAUAAAUGCAGCCUUCACAAACUUUAAGGUUAGAUGAAAUAAAAGGAAGUUGAAGCACCAUAUUUUUUGUUUUAAUAAUUUGAGGUCAUUAAAGUUUAGAUGACCAUACCUCAAGUGCCAUAGUAUGGACUCAUCCAUAUUCUCACAUUUCAAUGCAUUGUUUUGCCCAAAUGGCAUAAAUAGAGGAAAUACUUUAUUAGGAGCCAUUUUGAUAGAAAUAAUUUGGCCAUUUUUUUUAUCAAUGAUAUUACAUUUAUCAUCAUCAAAGAUGACUUUAUAAUUUUUAUGAAUAAGUUGACCAACAGUUAGAAGAUUUUGAGUAAGACCUGACACAUAAAAAAUAUUAUGGAUAUAUUUUUGGCUAUCAUUUUGAGUUUUAACAACAAUGGUGCCUUUUCUUUCAACUAUUUGAACAUUUCCAUCACCAAGUAUAACUUUGGAUUUUAUUGUCUCAUCUAGUUGCACAAAGCAACUUUUGUUUUUUGUCAUGUGAUUUGAACAACCACUAUCAACAUACCAUACAUCCCUUGAUUCUUGAAAAGAUGAAGCAGAGUACAAAGUAUGAUCAAGGGAUUCUUUAUUUUCUAGAAAAUUUGCUUCUUCUUUUUGUCGGUAAAAACAAUCUUUUCGUAGUGUAGGUGCCUUUUUCACUUUUCGCGUUUGUACCGACAAUCAUUUGUAUCAUGAUUAUUUUUCUGGCAUAAUUUGCAAUAGGAGCUUGAAGCAUUAUUACUCCAUUGCUUUCCACUCCUUUUACCACGAUUAGUAAAUGCUCCUCCUCUUUUUUGAGGAAAUUUACCGUAGUUAUUUUUCUUAUCUUUAUCAUUUUUAGAGAUAUUAAUUUUAUAUUGAAAUGCUUGUUCUAGUGGUUGCUCAAAUCUUUUCAUUCUAGCUUCAUGAGCUUCUAAAGAGCCCAUUAAUUCUACUAGAGUGAGUUUAGAUAAAACUUUUGAUUCUUCUAUGGCAGCCACAAUAUGAUCAUAUUUUAUGGGAAGACUUCUUAAUAUUUUUAGUAUUAUUUUCUUGUCUUCAAUCGUGUCCCCGUAACUUCUAAUUUGAUUGAAGAUAUUUGAGACACGAGAGAAAAAAGAUUGUAUAGAUUCAUCAUUCCGCAUUAUUAAUGUAUCAAAAUCCUUCCACAAAGAUUGAAGUUUAAUAGAAAUUACCUUGUCUGUGCCUUUAAAUUCAUUUUUUAGAGUUUACCACGCCUCCUUUGCAUUUUUUGCUUGCAUGAUUAUUGGCAAGAUCUCUCUACUAACUCCUUGUUGGAUGAAUAGCAGAGCCUUAACAUCAUACUGCUUGUUUUGCUUGUAGUUCUUUUGCUUUGUUGUUGUCCACGUAGCCAAUUCUUCUUGGCUUUCUGGGACUGGAUAGUCAUUCUCUAUAACAUCCCACAAGUCUUGUGAGAUGAAUAGAGUUUGCAUUUGAAUGCUCCAAUAAUCAUAUGCUUCCCUAUUAAAUAUGAGAACUAAGGUUUGGUUAUAGUUGAAGGUUAGUGGGCUAGGUGAUGUAGCAAAGGCCAUAGCAUCAACAUUGCUCUGAUGCCACUGUUAGGAUAUGAGACGUGAUUAUGUUAUUUUUAUUUUUUAUGGAAGGAUAUGGUAGAAAUGUAUGAUAGAAAUGAUGAGAGUAGAAAGAAGAUGAGUUUUCAAAAAAUUGACACCUUAACUUGAAUUGUACUUAUUAGUUUCUUGACUUACAUUACGUGGCUUGCUACAACUUAUGCCUUUAUAUAGGUUACAUAGGUGAUUUCUACAUACUUCUAUACUACUUAGUCCUAAAGUCUUCUAGACUUAUCUAUCAUCUAUCAUUAAUCUCUAUAAUGUUUUAAGUACUUCUAUGACUUUAGAUAAUAAGAUAUUUUUCUACCUCCAUCAAGAAGUUUCUACACACUACAACAUCUCCAUAGGUGUAAAACUCUCUAGAUAAUGGACCACCAAUUAUACAUCUAUACUUUUCUAGAUUAAUGUUCAACAAAAACUAAUGGUGGUGUAAGACAAUCUCCUUGUAAUGGAUUCUCAUGUCUCUUAAGUCAAACCACCGUCCAGUCAGUCUUCGUAAAACAUUAUUGUCUUUGUAUUCGACAAAAAUGACACGGCUAAGAGUAGCUUCCUGGCAAACUUCAACACCCUUUUUGUUCAACUUGCUUUCUAAACUUUCUCAAAAAGACCAAGUGAAUCUCGUCUUUUAUAUAGCACAAUAAACGAAUCAAGUUGCACGCGCAUGCGUCCAUUAAUAUUUUAAUUUACGAUAGCAUAAAUAAUUCUUCCGGGUAGACUGAGUUUUAUGAUUAGAGCAUUGAUUUGGUCCUACACAUCGCUCAAUCAGGUAAAGAAUAAUCUAUUUAAAUCGGGCUUAAACAAAACUUGCCGCGUUCGGGAAUCUUGGAACACAACAAGUCCUUCAAAGUUUUAGUGCUUAUUUGGAUGUUAAUAAAAUUAAUUUUGAUUCAAAUUAAUUUUAAAAAUAUUUUAUAUUUAGAUAUUUUUAUUAUAAAAUUAAAUUAAAAAUAAAUUUUAAUAUUAAUUUUUUAUCUAAUACAAAAGUUUCUAAAAGUUAUCUGAAUUCAAAAUUUAAAUGUAAAAUUAAUUUUAAAAUUUUGUAUAAUGCGAAUCCAAACAUGUAAAAAUUAAUCUAAAAUUAAUUUUCCAAUAUAAAAUCAAACUCUUAGAGUAAUUAUAGACAUACAUUUAUCAUAAAUACAUAUUUUACAUCUCUCUCGUAUCAAAUUAUAUCAUCAAUUAUAUUUACACUUUUUUUUUUCAUUUUUCUCUUUUUCUUAGGAUGUGUUUAUUUUAAAAGAAAAAAAUAAUAUAUAAAAUAAUUUUUAUAUUUUAUUAUAUGAAAAUCUAACCUCUUGCAUUUUACUUUAAUUCAAAAAAUUUCUUUUUAUUUCUCACCAUUGAACUAAACACACCAUACGGUGUCAAUUAGAGUCUCCAAACGUCUUUAUUUUUUUAUUAUUAUUCAUAUAUUACUUAUCAAAGUUAAUGUACCGAGGACACACCAAUACCAAUUAUUACGUGAUCCGACUUUGAUUAAAAUUUUACCUGCAGUCUUCUGUCAACUACAAUAUACGCAAGUGGAUAUAUGAACUUUCCAAAAUUUGAUGGUUUUAACAACUUGCAAAUCAUAUGGAACCAUCUUUCUGACACGCUGUUCAUUCAUGACUGGUCUUCGUUGAUGUGCGGACUACAUGAAUUGUGCUAGUACUAAAAAUUAUAAGUUUUAAUGAUAGAUUCAUGAUAUUUAAAUUCAAGGACUUACUGAUUAGUUUCCUAAAGACAAUGAUUAAGGAAUUGAAAAUUUUUAAUAUAGAAAUCCUAAAAAACAUAAAAAUAACUAUAAAUAACAUAAAUUUUACGCAUCUUUAACAAUUUUUUUUCCUUUUAACUCUUUAAUCAACACUGUUAUAAUAUUGAGUAACAUUUACCGUAUUAUGUAUAGUUCAAAUGAUAUACAUUUCCUCAUUAUCUGCAAAAUCGUAAAACAGACCAUUGAAUAAAUUUGGUCCACUGAGUCAGCUAAGGAAUAAAAUUUAAGUCUGCAAAACCGCCUUCGGGAAUCCAUUAGCGUGUAUAAACAAUUCAUUUUUUUUCUGUCAACAGAAUAAAAGAAACAAUUCAAAUUUUUUAACCACUUUAGGUUAGAUUUUUUGAGUAUUUGAGUCAAACAGUUCGUAUGAGUUAAGUUAGGUUUUAAUUUUUAAUUCUACUAAUCCAACUUGUUAAUGUAUGAUGUUAUUAAAAUGCAAUAAUGAAGCGCACGUUCACCUCCACGUUCUUUUAAUUAAUUAAUUUUAUUAUUUUUUAAAAAAUUAGUUAUUUUGAAUCUGAUCCAUUUUCCAUUCACAUUCAUCUCAUAUCUUUGCAAAUAUAUUUGUAACCACCUUCCGUAAUUGCCGCUGUUUUGUCUAAAUAAUGUGCUAUUUAAAUUUAUUUACAUGUUUAGAUUAGUAACAUUAGUGCAUGUAUAUUUUUACAAUAAUAAAACCUAUAAGACAAUGUUUGCUCACGGGUCUAUAAAAAAACACAGGGUCCAUUAACGGGAGCUUCCAUCAAUCUUUCUCUUUGUUACAUGCCAUUCAUUCACAAUUUCAGGAUGGCUGCUCCGGCCAUAGUUUCUAAAACUUUGCUCUUAUUUCUUAUUCUCCAUGCCAUUCUCAUGUCUCUGGCCACAUCACAGCCAAACUUCGUAAAACAUUACUGUUUUGACCAAAAUGGUAACUACACUGCUAAUAGUACGUUUCAGGCCAACCUCAAUACCUUGUUGUCCAACCUCUCUUCCAACACUGAAAUCGACUAUGGCUUCUACAAUUUCUCAAAUGGCCAAAACACUGACAAAGUCAACGUUAUUGGGAUGUGUAGAGGAGAUCUUAAGCCAGAAGCUUGCCGUAGUUGCC
rnacentral:lncRNA from 1 species